rnacentral:rRNA from 1 species
UACGGAGGAUCCGAGCGUUAUCCGGAUUUAUUGGGUUUAAAGGGUGCGUAGGCGGCCUAUUAAGUCAGGGGUGAAAGACGGUAGCUUAACUAUCGCAGUGCCUUUGAUACUGAUAGGCUUGAAUACACUUGAGGUAGGCGGAAUGUGACAAGUAGCGGUGAAAUGCAUAGAUAUGUCACAGAACACCAAUUGCGAAGGCAGCUUACUAAAGUGUGAUUGACGCUGAGGCACGAAAGCGUGGGGAUCAAACAGG